AAUGAUAGAUGCUGUGAGUGUAAUGCCCCUGAUCCCGAGUGGCUAUCGGUCAAUCUUGGUCUACUGAUAUGCAUUCAUUGCUCCGGGCGGCACAGGGAACUGGGUGUCCAGUAUUCACGCAUUCGAUCACUUAAAUUGGAUGCUCUGAAAACAUCCGAACUACUAAUAGCACGAGUGAUGGGUAAUGCAGUGCUUAAUGAAGUAAUGGAGGCUAAUCUAACUGAUCCUAAACCAUCACCUGAUUCUGACAUUGAAACACGGCGUCACUUUAUUGUUGAGAAGUACACUAAUAGAAAGUAUAUAGAGCACCAGGUGGACCCUUCAGUAUUGAGCCAAGAGCUACUGGAAGCAAUUGAGCUAAGAGAUAUCAAGCAUCUCCU